rnacentral:rRNA from 1 species
GACGAACGCUGGCGGCGUGCCUAAUACAUGCAAGUUGAGCGCUGAAGGUUGGUACUUGUACCAACUGGAUGAGCAGCGAACGGGUGAGUAACGCGUGGGGAAUCUGCCUUUGAUCGGGGGAAAAUAUUUGGAAACGAAUGCUAAUACCGCAUAAAAACUUUAAACAUAAUGUUGAAGGUUGAAAGAUGCAAUUGCAUCACUCAAAGAUGAUCCCGCGUUGUAUUAGCUAGUUGGUGAGGUAAAGGCUCACCAAGGCGAUGAUACAUAGCCGACCUGAGAGGGUGAUCGGCCACAUUGGGACUGAGACACGCCCCAAACUCCUACGGGAGGCAGCAGUAGGGCAUCUUCGGCAAUGGACGAAAGUCUGACCGAGCAACGCCGCAUGAGUGAAGAAGGUUUUCGGAUCGUAAAACUCUGUUGGUAGGGAAGAACGUUGGUGAGAGUGGAAAGCUCAUCAAGUGACGGUAACUACCCAGAAAGGGACGGCUAACUACGUG